UCACAAAUUAAGUGUUGAACAGCAUCACAUAUUAAGUGUUGAACAGCAUCACUUAAUAAGUGAAAGUGUAGCCCCGCCCCCGUGACGUCACGCUGCUCACCAGCGGAUGUGAUGGCGACCAGCUCAGGUUCAGUCUCAGGUCUAAACUCGGGUACCACCGGCUGGUCUAUCUAGACCAGCUCAUCGACCAGGGGGGUACAUGUCGUCCGAGCCGAGCGGAACCAUGCGGACGAGGAGACCCGAGGUGGGCGAGCAGCUUUAGCUUUAGCAUUAGCAUUAGCCCGUGGGAAGCUAGCGAACCCAACGCUACGGGGGCUACCUGGUAAAGACCACUAUCAUUUUGUUGUGAUGCUCCGGUGUGGGUCCGGGGUGUCUGUCCUCCGGGUCUGGCUCUGGUCCUGGUGAACAGGGCUGGACUGAUGCUAGGGGGGUCGCACGGAGCUGCUGUUGCUGUUAAAGGAUGCAAUGCUAGCAAUGAAGCUAGCUGUAUUGAGCUCUGUAUGUUACCAACGCUGUGAGCUAUUUAUAACAUUUAUCUGUGGUCUGAUCUCAUGCAUUGGGCCAAACGUGCGUCUUUGAAACAGAGUUUGAACGCAUCUCUGUGCAGCAAUGUGGUUGAGUUUCCAAGGGGCUUGAACGCAUCUCCGCGGCGUUCGAGUCAGAUCCGUUUAAACCACCAUCAGUGGUGUGCAGGUGAAAGGGUUCGCUCAGUUAUGUAGGAAAACAUUUUGAGUUGUUCGUGUCUCCGACCAACAGCAGGAUGGAGGCGGCGGGGGAGUGGAGUAAAAACGUGAAGUUGGAGACCAAGCCGUUCCUCAAGCACCAUGGCCGAGUUGCCGUCGCCAAGAACCUCUCAGACCUCCUCAGGACCUCCUGGAGCCUGCAGAUCCCCUCCCAAUGUGCUGGUAGGUCUAACCUCCGCUUCCCGUCUCAGUACCUCAAGGUUAGUGCUAUACAGUCAAGAGAUGUUCUGGUACACAUUUCCACCUCCGAACGCAGCAUAACACCGUAGUGUUUGAUGUUCUCUGCCUGUGUAGUAAAUGAGUCAUGUGACGGUAUUGGAUCGGCACACGGAUUUGCGUACUCGCCGAUAUCCGACACGCAAACAUGCAUUUUAGGAAGAGUAUCGUAGGAAUUUCAGAUACUGGUAUCGGCAUGGGAACAGCGCAGUCUGUCUGAAACCCCAGUACUCGUCC
rnacentral:lncRNA from 1 species